rnacentral:rRNA from 1 species
UGAAAUUGAACUCGCUGUGAAGAUGCAGUGUACCCGCGGCAAGACGGAAAGACCCCGUGAACCUUUACUAUAGCUUGACACUGAACAUUGAGCCUUGAUGUGUAGGAUAGGUGGGAGGCUUUGAAGCGUGGACGCCAGUCUGCGUGGAGCCGACCUUGAAAUACCACCCUUUAAUGUUUGAUGUUCUAACGUGGACCCGUUACCCGGGUUGCGGACAGUGUCUGGUGGGUAGUUUGACUGGGGCGGUCUCCUCCUAAAGAGUAACGGAGGAGCACGAAGGUUGGCUAAUCCUGGUCGGACAUCAGGAGGUUAGUGCAAUGGCAUAAGCCAGCUUGACUGCGAGCGUGACGGCGCGAGCAGGUGCGAAAGCAGGUCAUAGUGAUCCGGUGGUUCUGAAUGGAAGGGCCAUCGCUCAACGGAUAAAAGGUACUCCGGGGAUAACAGGCUGAUACCGCCCAAGAGUUCAUAUCGACGGCGGUGUUUGGCACCUCGAUGUCGGCUCAUCACAUCCUGGGGCUGAAGUAGGUCCCAAGGGUAUGGCUGUUCGCCAUUUAAAGUGGUACGCGAGCUGGGUUUAGAACGUCGUGAGACAGUUCGGUCCCUAUCUGCCGUGGGCGCUGGAGAACUGAGGGGGGCUGCUCCUAGUACGAGAGGACCGGAGUGGACGCAUCACUGGUGUUCGGGUUGUCAUGCCAAUGGCACUGCCCGGUAGCUAAAUGCGGAAGAGAUAAGUGCUGAAAGCAUCUAAGCACGAAACUUGCCCCGA